rnacentral:rRNA from 1 species
GGUUAAGCGACUAAGCGUACACGGUGGAUGCCCUGGCAGUCAGAGGCGAUGAAGGACGUGCUAAUCUGCGAUAAGCGCCGGUAAGGUGAUAUGAACCGUUAUAACCGGCGAUUUCCGAAUGGGGAAACCCAGUGUGACUCGUCACACUAUCAUUAACUGAAUCCAUAGGUUAAUGAGGCGAACCGGGGGAACUGAAACAUCUAAGUACCCCGAGGAAAAGAAAUCAACCGAGAUUCCCCCAGUAGCGGCGAGCGAACGGGGAGGAGCCCAGAGCCUGAAUCAGCAUGUGUGUUAGUGGAAGCGUCUGGAAAGGCGCGCGAUACAGGGUGACAGCCCCGUACACAAAAGCGCAUGUGCUGUGAGCUCGAUGAGUAGGGCGGGACACGUGGUAUCCUGUCUGAAUAUGGGGGGACCAUCCUCCAAGGCUAAAUACUCCUGACUGACCGAUAGUGAACCAGUACCGUGAGGGAAAGGCGAAAAGAACCCCGGCGAGGGGAGUGAAAAAGAACCUGAAACCGUGUACGUACAAGCAGUGGGAGCACCCUUUGGGGUGUGACUGCGUACCUUUUGUAUAAUGGGUCAGCGACUUAUAUUCUGUAGCAAGGUUAACCGAAUAGGGGAGCCGGAGGGAAACCGAGUCUUAAUUGGGCGUUAAGUUGCAGGGUAUAGACCCGAAACCCGGUGAUCUAGCCAUGGGCAGGUUGAAGGUUGGGUAACACUAACUGGAGGACCGAACCGACUAAUGUUGAAAAAUUAGCGGAUGACCUGUGGCUGGGGGUGAAAGGCCAAUCAAACCGGGAGAUAGCUGGUUCUCCCCGAAAGCUAUUUAGGUAGCGCCUCGUGAAUUCAUCUCCGGGGGUAGAGCACUGUUUCGGCUAGGGGGCCAUCCCGGCUUACCAACCCGAUGCAAACUGCGAAUACCGGAGAAUGUUAUCACGGGAGACACACGGCGGGUGCUAACGUCCGUCGUGAAGAGGGAAACAACCCAGACCGCCAGCUAAGGUCCCAAAGUCAUGGUUAAGUGGGAAACGAUGUGGGAAGGCCCAGACAGCCAGGAUGUUGGCUUAGAAGCAGCCAUCAUUUAAAGAAAGCGUAAUAGCUCACUGGUCGAGUCGGCCUGCGCGGAAGAUGUAACGGGGCUAAACCAUGCACCGAAGCUGCGGCAGCGACACUAUGUGUUGUUGGGUAGGGGAGCGUUCUGUAAGCCUGUGAAGGUGGCCUGUGAGGGUUGCUGGAGGUAUCAGAAGUGCGAAUGCUGACAUAAGUAACGAUAAAGCGGGUGAAAAGCCCGCUCGCCGGAAGACCAAGGGUUCCUGUCCAACGUUAAUCGGGGCAGGGUGAGUCGACCCCUAAGGCGAGGCCGAAAGGCGUAGUCGAUGGGAAACGGGUUAAUAUUCCCGUACUUGGUGUUACUGCGAAGGGGGGACGGAGAAGGCUAUGUUGGCCGGGCGACGGUUGUCCCGGUUUAAGCGUGUAGGUGUGUGUUCCAGGUAAAUCCGGUUCACUUUAACACUGAGGCGUGAUGACGAGGCACUACGGUGCUGAAGCAACAAAUGCCCUGCUUCCAGGAAAAGCCUCUAAGCAUCAGGUAACAUCAAAUCGUACCCCAAACCGACACAGGUGGUCAGGUAGAGAAUACCAAGGCGCUUGAGAGAACUCGGGUGAAGGAACUAGGCAAAAUGGUGCCGUAACUUCGGGAGAAGGCACGCUGACAUGUAGGUGAAGUGAUUUACUCAUGGAGCUGAAGUCAGUCGAAGAUACCAGCUGGCUGCAACUGUUUAUUAAAAACACAGCACUGUGCAAACACGAAAGUGGACGUAUACGGUGUGACGCCUGCCCGGUGCCGGAAGGUUAAUUGAUGGGGUCAGCGCAAGCGAAGCUCCUGAUCGAAGCCCCGGUAAACGGCGGCCGUAACUAUAACGGUCCUAAGGUAGCGAAAUUCCUUGUCGGGUAAGUUCCGACCUGCACGAAUGGCGUAAUGAUGGCCAGGCUGUCUCCACCCGAGACUCAGUGAAAUUGAACUCGCUGUGAAGAUGCAGUGUACCCGCGGCAAGACGGAAAGACCCCGUGAACCUUUACUAUAGCUUGACACUGAACAUUGAGCCUUGAUGUGUAGGAUAGGUGGGAGGCUUUGAAGUGUGGACGCCAGUCUGCAUGGAGCCGGCCUUGAAAUACCACCCUUUAAUGUUUGAUGUUCUAACGUGGACCCGUGAUCCGGGUUGCGGACAGUGUCUGGUGGGUAGUUUGACUGGGGCGGUCUCCUCCUAAAGAGUAACGGAGGAGCACGAAGGUUGGCUAAUCCUGGUCGGACAUCAGGAGGUUAGUGCAAUGGCAUAAGCCAGCUUGACUGCGAGCGUGACGGCGCGAGCAGGUGCGAAAGCAGGUCAUAGUGAUCCGGUGGUUCUGAAUGGAAGGGCCAUCGCUCAACGGAUAAAAGGUACUCCGGGGAUAACAGGCUGAUACCGCCCAAGAGUUCAUAUCGACGGCGGUGUUUGGCACCUCGAUGUCGGCUCAUCACAUCCUGGGGCUGAAGUAGGUCCCAAGGGUAUGGCUGUUCGCCAUUUAAAGUGGUACGCGAGCUGGGUUUAGAACGUCGUGAGACAGUUCGGUCCCUAUCUGCCGUGGGCGCUGGAGAACUGAGGGGGGCUGCUCCUAGUACGAGAGGACCGGAGUGGACGCAUCACUGGUGUUCGGGUUGUCAUGCCAAUGGCACUGCCCGGUAGCUAAAUGCGGAAGAGAUAAGUGCUGAAAGCAUCUAAGCACGAAACUUGCCCCGAGAUGAGUUCUCCCUGAGACUUUAAGUCUCCUGAAGGAACGUUGAAGACGACGACGUUGAUAGGCCGGGUGUGUAAGCGCAGCGAUGCGUUGAGCUAACCGGUACUAAUGAACCGUGAGGCUUAACCUU